ACACAUAUUUCGGUUGGACAUAGGUGGGCACUGACGUAGAUUCUUUGCUUCCUGUACUUAUAUGUGAAUAGCAAAGUGUUGAGAACUGGAAGCAUGAGUGAGUGACAUGCAAGGAACUGACAUUGAAGUAAGAUUCUGUGAGGGUGAGGUUGCAUUUGUAGAAAGUGGUUAUAGUCCACUUAGCAAUGGUCAUCACAGAGGUGGCUGAGGGACCAGUAGAUGGUUCUGAAAAGGGAUUCCUCAAAAUUUGCAAUUGGUUGAUGGCACUCUUCAUCUUUCUGAUGUUCAUUUAGAAGUGAUAAUUACUGGGAACCUGAUGCUCAGUACUGUAUUAGGCAUUAAAAGGAUGAAGAUGACUAAGGGAACAAAAUAACAGCUUAGAAUAAUUCUCUCCUUUUUAGAGUUUUUCCCUAACUUUGUCAAAGUAUAAUUAAAAAAUAAAAAUGUCUAUAUUUUC
rnacentral:lncRNA from 10 species